UCUUUCUUUCUCUCUCUCUUUCUUUCUCUUUCUUUUUGUAAGUCAUCCUUUUGUUUAGUUUUAGAACAAGUCCUCCUUUUUUCCCCCAACAGACUUGCCUUGGAAAAGAUUGAGAAGAGCCAGUAGACUUGGCUUCCUUACUUCUGCUCAUGUCCUGCAUGAGAUAUGCUCAUACGAGAUGUGCUGUGUGGCGGCGGGAAGCGAUGAAGAAGGAGAGCCUGGGGUCAUCUGAAGAAGUCCAAGAAGAUGUUAGAUCUGGUGAUAAUUGCCUUUACUCUCUCCUCUCCUUCUUUAUCAGAGCCAAGAAGUUAAUUUUAGACAAUAGUGUUUUCCAGAGCCAUCUCUGCCUUGUGUUCAGCAAAAGAGAAGUAGCAUGUAGGAUUUUUCUUUUACUUCCUGGCUUAGAUAUUCUCACCUUCCUCCAUAAAUUCUCUGAACAAAGCAGGUUUCCUGAUACUUCAGUCAAUUCCUCCUGUGCUACAGAAAGCAAGUCCUCUGGGCCCAGGGAUGCACACAUAUGUAGAUUCGUUGGGGGAAGAAGAUGUUAUUCACCAAUCAUUUCCUCUCCAACUUUAAUUUUUAAAUCAGUUUUCUUUAUUUACUUUGUAUUUAAAAAGACCUUGACAGGUUGACACCUAGGUGCUUACUAGAAACACCCAACAGCUCUGUUAACGUUUUAUAACAGAGCCCUAGCCAGAUUUUGUUUGUUUUAUUUUCAAAGUGCGUCUCCUCCUUCCUUACCUUAGAGCUGGUCUCAUUUUCCCGUCAAUUUGAAGACAUGGAUUUGGAGUAAUUGAGCACAUGGCAGGAGAGGAAAAUCAUCAAUUGAAGAUUGCUUGCCUAUGCGUAAUCCGUUGAUUGGUCUGUGUUCAUAACACCGUGACCCUAGAUUAUAUUAAAUUCCCAGCACAGGACAGACAGAACAAUAAUUUGUAAAGCACCUAUCAUGCGGCAGGCACAACGCUAACCAUAGUAAAAUCAUAAUCAGCACACUUCACGCAGGAGGUAUUAAGUAUCACGCAGAGCUAAGAGACCCACGGGCCCAUAAACCGAACAAUUUUCCAGACUUGCGGUAGGUCGUCAUAAUAUCACGGUGAAUCUUGGAAGACUUAAGAAUGCCAGAAAGUUCACUUAACCUCCCUUCAUUUGGGGGUGCAGGUUGGUUGCAAACUCCAGUUGAUUUACCCUGCCUGGAUUGGAGAGUGUGCAGUCCAACAUUCCUGAAGGGCAAAGCAUCGGACCCCGGAAGGCUAGCGUGGCUCCCUGUGACAGAGUUCCCUGUGGUCUUCCUGUCAUUGCUGUUUGCAGCAUGGAGAGACUCUUCGACGAGGGUUGAGUGCGCCACAUUUAAAAUCUCUGAGUUAGCAGUUUCCACCUUGAGAAUAUUCCUGGCUUUCUCCCCCAGAGUGCUCCCCAUGCAUCUAUCUCCGUUUGAAUCUUAGCAGGAAGUCCGGGGCUGCCACGGCACCUCAGUCCCCAAAAUGUGUCUCAAACAGUGUUUCUGUGUUCUUUUAAGUUUAUUAAUUCUGCACACUCAGUGCUUUUGAAACUCCUCUAUUUCACAAACACUCAAGUAAAUGUAAUCGUAUCUUUUUGAAGCUCUUCCUUACUGUGCUGUCAUUAGUAAAUAAUGGGGGAAACCAGGCGGCAUAGGGUAUGAUUAUUAGUAACAAUACUUUGGAUUUGCACAAACUCACUCUCAAUGAACCCUAGGCAGUUCCUACACAUUAGCUCAUUUUUCCUCACCACAGCUGGGCCGGGAGACCUAGAUUCUAUUCUUGGUGCUUCAACAACCUUCUUGGGAAAAGUAUUUAGCCACUAAUUGCCUCAGUUCCCAACUAUGAAAAGGGAAUAAUGAUAUUAGGAUAUUUGCCUCUCCCUGUCUUUAUCCUAGACCUUUAGAACCUAACUAGUAAAAAAAAAAAUGUUUUUAAUCUGAAGAGCCUAAAAAGUCUAAAAGAGAAGGAGUGUGGCUUGACUUUAUUUCCAUUAAUGAAAAGGUGAGAUACAGUCUUAGGAGUUUGACUGGAAACCUUGAAAUCUGAAUUGUAAUCCAGUAUCUGCUUCAUGAUAGACCAUUGCCUUGGAUACCUCUCUCCUUUAUAUUGGAAAGCACUUAGUGAUCCAGCAAUGGUGAAUACUAUAAAAGGGGACUGAUCUUCUAAGGAGCAUUAAUUUGGUCAGCAAAGAUGUCUCUAUGAGCCAUGGCAUCAAUAAGACUGAAUUUAAGAUGAGAACACUCUUGGCUUCCAAAGCCUUCCCCUCCCCCCACCUCUCUCCUUUUCCUCACAACCUCCUGGCUGUGUAGCUGUUUCAAAUAUAUAGACAAAUAACUCCAGCCCAAGUCCCUGGCCUAUAUCUUUGGUCUCCUAUCAUCUCUAGACUCUUGGCCUGGCAAUCUCCAUCUUCAAAAGUUCCAGGGGCAGAAAUAAGCCUUUUUGCUUGCCAGCCUAAACCUAAUGACUGAGUGGCAGGGAACCUAGACCAAAAUAGAACUUGGCUCUUAGAUGAUAUGCGUCAGCCAAGAAUAAUGCUUCUUUUUUAACGUCAGGCUCCAUUCUAUUAGUGCACAGGUAAUAGGGAUCUCAUCCUUUAGAAGGGCCUUGAUUUUCUCUAUUUUUCACUCUCAGUUUACCCACUUAUUGUAUAGGAGUGAAAGCUUCUCUCUUUUACCUGCCUACAUCCAAAAGCCUAUUGAAAUGUACUACUUACAAAUUGGUCAAGUCAGACCCCAAGGCAGUGGGCCAUAGAGUACCUUCCAGAGGGCUUCAUAGACAACAUGGGCUCGUCAGAUAAGUGACAGUCCUUGUAUGGAGUUAAUCCAGAAGCCAAGAAAAGUCCUCUGAAGCUCACCCAAUGAAGCAUAAGGAGGCAACAGAAUUAGUAUACAUAUUCAUAUCAAAAAAUAUUAUUAAAUAAUAUGCUGAAGACUUCUCUCACCGUUGAUUUCCCCUAAUAUCCUAAAAGGCUAAGGAAAGCGAAAUAAUAUUUUUUUUUCUUUUUUACUAGGCAAAAAUUCAAGUCUUUAGCCUGACAUUACUUAACCUGACACUUGGAACUCUUACAGAUUUGGGGUAUAAAAUCCGCCAGAUGACUCCUUUGGAGACCACUGGAGCUUCAGACUGUUUGCACCAAACGCUGCUCCCUACUGGCUCAAAGUCUCAUUGCUUCAGGAAAAUGGUUUUGCUGAUCAAGGCAGAAGGAAGCUUCGUCUUCCUCCCCUUCCUGGGAAUAUCUUUUUGUCAGUUAAUGAGGGACUCUUGCUGAGGGAAUUUAGAUCGUUCCCAUCUAAAGUAUGUUUAGAGUUUGGGGGCUGGAGUCGGGGGGACUGUGGUUAUGCAUCCAGCUGUCCCUUGAGAGUCACGGUCAGCCACCAAGGAUGCAUCUUUAGAAACUUGAGUGGUGUCAAAACUCUGAAUGUGCAUCAAUGCCUGUCAAAGGACGGAUUGAGCGCCAUCAUAUUCUCCCUGCCCGCCCCUAUCGCCCGGAUGAGGUCUCGGAUGGAAGCUAGCCUGCCAAGGAUACCACUUGUACACGCUUCAGUACUCUUUCCUUAGGCAAAUAAGGACUUGUGUAACCUUUUUUCAGAAUACAUAUUAUGAAACUCUGGAGCCUUUCGGUCAUAUGGUCACGAACGAUUUCUAGCUUCUCAACCUCUUUUUUUCUGAAAUGAGGGCAUCUGAGCUCGGUUGCUUAUCUCAGAUCUGGACUUACCCACACACUUUAAAGUGCAAGAGAUCUCCCUCCCUCCCUGCGUGUAGCCCAGAAUAGGCCUUCACAGCCACGUCAUCCUGGACACUUUAUCACUUGAUAUUACCUCCUAAUCCACAGAUCAGUGAGAUUUCAGACAGAAUCUGUCUGGCUCUCAAACAGAAACAGCAUGACUUCAGAACAUUUAGAAUGAAUUAAGCAGACCAAUUUGUUAUUUUUCAGAAACACAAAGGUGGCUAUAAGUGGGACCUCAGCCAGAGUAUGGUCUUAGAAAAUAAGGUUGCAGUUCACCCUUUAUAAAAUGUUAUUUUACGUGGCAUCGUACUAAGCGUUCUUCCAAGGGUUAUUUAGACAUGAGCUCUGAUCACUCAAAAAGUUACAGUCAAAGCCACAUCAGCAUAAACGUUUAUUAAAAAACUUUUGCUAUGGGGGUACCUGGGUGGCUCAGUCCGUUCGUUGGGCAUCCAACUUCGGCUCGGGUCAUGAUCUCAUGGUUCGGUUUGUGGGGUCAUGCCCCACGUAGGGCUCUGUGCUGAUGGCUCAGAGCCUGGAACCUGCUUCGGAUUCUGUGUCUUCUUCUCUCUCUGCCCCUCUCCCGCUCACACUCUGUCUCUCUCUGCCUCUCAAAAAUAAAUAAAUGUUAGAAAAAAAAAAAACUUUUGCUAUAUACCAGGUGCUGAGCUGUAUACCAGAAACACAAUAGCAAUCAUGUGACAACCACCCUCCGCGUUCAUCUUGGAAUUUGGAGCUAGAGACAACAUAGUCUAUGGAUAGUGCCAACACCAGAACAUCGAGUUCUUUCCUCUAGCUAACGGACUUAUACUGCCGAGCACAGUGCCUGACAUACAGUCAAGUACUCAAUAAAUAUUCCUUGGCUAAAAUGAGCUCAUGAAAAGAAUGAAUACAUGUUAAAGUGGAGUAAGUAUAGACUGCUAUGGAAAACACAUCGGAGGAGAAACCAGGCUGGUGGGAGGGGAUGAACUGUGUGGAAAGUGUCAUUUACACGGAGACAAGAGUCAACACAAUGAUCUAAAGGAAAGACCGGGCUCAUGGAGUUCGACCUGGUUCGGAUCCUAGCGCUGCGCUCAGAGCUGGGCAGUUCCAACUAUCCCAAACCUUUGAAAACACUGAUGAUGGCUUUGGAAGACAAAAUGAGAUAUUAUUUGCCUGUAAGUGUCUGUCACAUCGAAGAACUCAAGAGCAGCUAGUAAAGGAGGAACAGAGAACAGAACUGCAACGUUAAAGCAAUAAAGACCUGAGGAGUAAGGUUAAGAGCACAAACACUUUGAGGGAUGGAUGGCAACGACGAGCUUAAUUUAAAGUCACGGUGGCAGCAGGGAGAGGUGCUCCUGAAGUUCUUAGCUUCUAAGCCCAGACGAGGCUGGGGGGAGGGUAGGUGUCUUACGGGAUUUAUCUUCCUCUUCCAAUCCGUCUGAAGGCUUUCAAAUUCAGCUUUUAGCUGCAAAACCACGUGGGCCCUGCCUGUCACUGUUUACGGUAUGGUAAAUGCCCUUUUCAGAUCAUCAGAUCCUCUUAAAAUAUUGUGACGUGUCGAAGCUCGAGACAGACCAUAUAUGUGUGUGUGUUUAUAUACAGAGACAUAGAAAUACACACAUAAAAAUAUAACCCUUUUCUCUAGAAGGCCUUGCAAUAAUUAGCUUCUGUUGCUUUUAUCUUAAAUACCCACAAAUAUACCAGACCCCUUUCUUCUGUGCUUCCUUCCCUCCAUGUCCAUCAGGCCCUUUCCCACUGCAUUCAUAUAGUUAGAUCAGCGCGCGCGCGCGCGCACACACACACACACACACACACACACACACACACACCUGUUAUCUACCAGCUUCGGCUUUUUUUAGGUGAGCCUUUGGGAAGUGCCCUGAUCU
rnacentral:lncRNA from 1 species